rnacentral:rRNA from 1 species
CAAUAGCGUAUAUUAAAGUUGUUGCGGUUAAAAAGCUCGUAGUUGGAUUUCUGCUGAGAACGACCGGUCCGCCCUCUGGGUGUGUAUCUGGCUCUUUCUUGGCAUCUUCUUGGUGAACGUUGCUGCACUUGACUGUGUGGAGCGCUACCCAGGACUUUUACUUUGAGGAAAUUAGAGUGUUUCAAGCAGGCAUACGCCUUGAAUACAUUAGCAUGGAAUAAUAAGAUAGGACCUCGGUUCUAUUUUGUUGGUUUCUAGAGCUGAGGUAAUGAUUAAUAGGGAUAGUUGGGGGCAUUCGUAUUUAACUGUCAGAGGUGAAAUUCUUGGAUUUGUUAAAGACGGACUACUGCGAAANGANNNGCCAAGGAUGUUUUCAUNGG